rnacentral:rRNA from 1 species
UGGCGGCGUGCCUAACACAUGCAAGUCGAACGAAGCACCUUACCUGAUUCUUCGGAUGAAGGUCUGGUGACUGAGUGGCGGACGGGUGAGUAACGCGUGGGUAACCUGCCCUGUACAGGGGGAUAACAGUUGGAAACGGCUGCUAAUACCGCAUAAGCGCACGAGAGGACAUCCUCUUGUGUGAAAAACUCCGGUGGUACAGGAUGGGCCCGCGUCUGAUUAGCUGGUUGGCAGGGUAACGGCCUACCAAGGCGACGAUCAGUAGCCGGUCUGAGAGGAUGAACGGCCACAUUGGAACUGAGACACGGUCCAAACUCCUACGGGAGGCAGCAGUGGGGAAUAUUGCACAAUGGGGGAAACCCUGAUGCAGCAACGCCGCGUGAGUGAAGAAGUAUUUCGGUAUGUAAAGCUCUAUCAGCAGGGAAGAUAAUGACGGUACCUGACUAAGAAGCUCCGGCUAAAUACGUGCCAGCAGCCGCGGUAAUACGUAUGGAGCAAGCGUUAUCCGGAUUUACUGGGUGUAAAGGGUGCGUAGGUGGCAGUGCAAGUCAGAUGUGAAAGGCCGGGGCUCAACCCCGGAGCUGCAUUUGAAACUGCAUAGCUAGAGUACAGGAGAGGCAGGCGGAAUUCCUAGUGUAGCGGUGAAAUGCGUAGAUAUUAGGAGGAACACCAGUGGCGAAGGCGGCCUGCUGGACUGUUACUGACACUGAGGCA